rnacentral:rRNA from 1 species
AGCGAACGCUGGCGGCAGGCUUAACACAUGCAAGUCGAACGCCCGGGCAACCGGGAGUGGCGGACGGGUGAGUAACGCGUGGGAACGUACCCUUUGGUUCGGAAUAACUCAGGGAAACUUGAGCUAAUACCGGAUAAGCCCUUUUGGGGAAAGAUUUAUCGCCGAAGGAUCGGCCCGCGUCCGAUUAGCUAGUUGGUGAGGUAAUGGCUCACCAAGGCGACGAUCGGUAGCUGGUCUGAGAGGAUGAUCAGCCACACUGGGACUGAGACACGGCCCAGACUCCUACGGGAGGCAGCAGUGGGGAAUAUUGGACAAUGGGGGCAACCCUGAUCCAGCCAUGCCGCGUGAGUGAUGAAGGCCCUAGGGUUGUAAAGCUCUUUCGGCGGGGACGAUAAUGACGGUACCCGCAGAAGAAGCCCCGGCUAACUUCGUGCCAGCAGCCGCCGUAA